UACGUAGGGCGCAAGCGUUAUCCGGAAUUAUUGGGCGUAAAGAGCUCGUAGGCGGUUUGUCGCGUCUGCCGUGAAAGUCCGGGGCUCAACUCCGGAUCUGCGGUGGGUACGGGCAGACUAGAGUGAUGUAGGGGGAGACUGGAAUUCCUGGUGUAGCGGUGAAAUGCGCAGAUAUCAGGAGGAACACCGAUGGCGAAGGCAGCUCUCUGGGACGGUACUGACGCUGAGACGCGAAAGCGUGGGGAGCGAACAGG
rnacentral:rRNA from 1 species